UACGGGGGGGGCAAGCGUUGUUCGGAUUCAUUGGGCGUAAAGGGUGUGUAGGUGGCGCGCUAAGUCGGGUGUGAAAUUUCGGAGCUUAACUCCGAAACUGCAUUCGAUACUGGCGUGCUUGAGGACUGGAGAGGGGACUGGAAUUCAUGGUGUAGCAGUGAAAUGCGUAGAGAUCAUGAGGAAGACCAGUGGCGAAGGCGGGUCUCUGGACAGUUCCUGACACUGAGACACGAAGGCCAGGGGAGCAAACGGG
rnacentral:rRNA from 1 species